AGAGAGAGAGAGAGAGAGAGAGAGAUGAAGCCGUUUUUGAACAAAUGCAUUGGACUAGGCAAUAAAGAUGAAGUGGACUAAGACCAAAUGUGAAAAGAGUGAUCCAUCUUAGAGCGUGAAUAUGCAGAAAAGAAUUAGCCAAGUGAGGUAAGGUCGUGCGUCAAUUGGACAGGUGGCUUUGUUUACAUUCUUGAUCCUAUAUAU
rnacentral:misc_RNA from 1 species